AGAGUUUGAUCCUGGCUCAGAUUGAACGCUGGCGGCAUGCCUAACACAUGCAAGUCGAACGGCAGCACAGGUAGCAAUACCGGGUGGCGAGUGGCGGACGGGUGAGUAAAGCAUCGGGAUCUACCCUGACGUGGGGGAUAACCUCGGGAAACCGGGACUAAUACCGCAUACGUCCUACGGGAGAAAGCGGGGGACCUUCGGGCCUCGCGCGGCAGGACGAACCGAUGUGCGAUUAGCUAGUUGGCGGGGUAACGGCCCACCAAGGCGACGAUCGCUAGCUGGUCUGAGAGGAUGAUCAGCCACACUGGGACUGAGACACGGCCCAGACUCCUACGGGAGGCAGCAGUGGGGAAUAUUGGACAAUGGGCGCAAGCCUGAUCCAGCAAUGCCGCGUGUGUGAAGAAGGCCUUCGGGUUGUAAAGCACUUUUAUCAGGAGCGAAAUACCACGGG
rnacentral:rRNA from 1 species